GACGAACGCUGGCGGCGUGCUUAACACAUGCAAGUCGAACGGAAAGGCCCUGCUUUUGUGGGGUGCUCGAGUGGCGAACGGGUGAGUAACACGUGAGUAACCUGCCCUUGACUUUGGGAUAACUUCAGGAAACUGGGGCUAAUACCGGAUAUGAUCUCCUGCUGCAUGGUGGGGGUUGGAAAGUUUCGGCGGUUGGGGAUGGACUCGCGGCUUAUCAGCUUGUUGGUGGGGUAGUGGCUUACCAAGGCUUUGACGGGUAGCCGGCCUGAGAGGGUGACCGGCGACAUUGGGACUGAGAUACGGACCAGACGCCUACGGGAGGCAGCAGGGGGGAAUAUUGCACAAUGGGCGGAAGCCUGAUGCAGCAACGCCGCGUGCGGGAUGACGGCCUUCGGGUUGUAAACCGCUUUCGCCUGUGACGAAGCGUGAGUGACGGUAAUGGGUAAAGAAGCACCGGCUAACUACGUG
rnacentral:rRNA from 1 species